GGGCGAUUAGCUCAGUUGGUUAGAGUACAAGCAUGACACGCUUGGGGUCGCAGGUUCGAUUCCCGCAUCGCCCA
rnacentral:tRNA from 1 species